AUUGAACGCUGGCGGCAGGCUUAACACAUGCAAGUCGAGCGCGCGGCGGACGGGUGAGUAAUGUCUGGGAAACUGCCUGAUGGAGGGGGAUACCUCCUGGAAACGGUCGCUAAUACCGCAUACCAUCAGAUGUGCCUAGAUGGGAUUAGCUAGUAGGUGGGGUAAUGGCUCCCCUGGGCGACGAUCCCUAGAUGGUCUGAGAGGAUGACCAGCCACACUGGGACUGAGACACGGUCCAGACUCCUACGGGAGGCAGCAGUGGGGAAUAUUGCACAAUGGGCGCAAGCCUGAUGCAGCCAUGCCGCGUGUGUGAAGAAGGCCUUCGGGUUGUAAAGCACUUUCAGCGGGGAGGCGUUACUCGCAGAAGAAGCACCGGCUAACUCCGUGCCAGCAGCCGCGGUAAUUC
rnacentral:rRNA from 1 species